rnacentral:rRNA from 1 species
GCAAGUCGAACGAGAACGGGUUCUUCGGAACCUUAGUAGAGUGGCUCACGGGUGAGUAACACGUGGACCAUCUACCCCCGAGUCCGGGCUAACAUUUCGAAAGGGAUGCUAAUACCGGAUAAUAUCUGUUUUACCUUGGUUUAGCAGAUCAAAGGUGGCCUCUCCUUGGAAGCCAUUGUUUGGGGAUGAGUCCGCGUACCAUUAGCUUGUUGGUGGGGUAACGGCCUACCAAGGCGAUGAUGGUUAGCUGGUCUGAGAGGAUGAUC